rnacentral:rRNA from 1 species
GGCGAACGGGUGAGUAACACGUGAGUGAUCUGCCCUGCACUUCGGGAUAAGCUUGGGAAACUGGGUCUAAUACCGGAUAGGAGCCAUCUUUAGUGUGGUGGUUGGAAAGUUUUUCGGUGUAGGAUGAGCUCGCGGCCUAUCAGCUUGUUGGUGGGGUAAUGGCCUACCAAGGCGGCGACGGGUAGCCGGCCUGAGAGGGUGUACGGCCACAUUGGGACUGAGACACGGCCCAG